UACGUAGGGUGCAAGCGUUGUCCGGAAUUAUUGGGCGUAAAGAGCUCGUAGGCGGUUUGUCGCGUCUGCUGUGAAAUCUGGGGGCUCAACCCCCAGCCUGCAGUGGGUACGGGCAGACUAGAGUGCGGUAGGGGAGAUUGGAAUUCCUGGUGUAGCGGUGGAAUGCGCAGAUAUCAGGAGGAACACCGAUGGCGAAGGCAGAUCUCUGGGCCGUAACUGACGCUGAGAAGCGAAAGCAUGGGGAGCGAACAGG
rnacentral:rRNA from 1 species